UCGGGAAUAUUGCGCAAUGGAGGAAACUCUGACGCAGUGACGCCGCGUAUAGGAAGAAGGUCUUCGGAUUGUAAACUAUUGUCGUUAGGGAAGAGAAAGGACAGUACCUAAGGAGGAAGCUCCGGCUAACUACGUGCCAGCAGCCGCGGUAAUACGUAGGGAGCGAGCGUUAUCCGGAUUUAUUGGGUGUAAAGGGUGCGUAGACGGGAAAACUAAGUUAGUUGUGAAAUCCCUCGGCUUAACUGAGGAACUGCAACUAAAACUAUUUUUCUUGAGUGCAGGAGAGGAAAGUGGAAUUCCUAGUGUAGCGGUGAAAUGCGUAGAUAUUAGGAGGAACACCAGUGGCGAAGGCGACUUUCUGGACUGUAACUGACGUUGAGGCUCGAAAGUGUGGGUAUCAAACAGGAUUAGAUACC
rnacentral:rRNA from 1 species